GAUGAACGCUGGCGGCGUGCCUAAUACAUGCAAGUCGAGCGAACAGACGAGGAGCUUGCUCCUCUGACGUUAGCGGCGGACGGGUGAGUAACACGUGGAUAACCUACCUAUAAGACUGGGAUAACUUCGGGAAACCGGAGAUAAUACCGGAUAUUAUAUUGAACCGCAUGGUUCAAUAGUGAAAGACGGUUUUGCUGUCAUUUAUAGAGGGAUCCGCGCCGCAUUAGCUAGUGGGUAAGGUAACGGCUUACAAAGGCAACGUGGGGUAGCCGCCCGGAGAGGUGGAUGGGCAACCCGGGAACGGGGACACGCUCCAGACUCCUAGGGGAGGAGGCGUUAGGGAAUCUCCCGCAAUGGGCGAAGGCCGGACGGAGCACCGCGGCGGGAGUGAUGAAGUUUUUCGGAUCGAAAACCUCUGUUAUAAGGGAAGAAAAAUGGCGUAAGUAAAUAUGCACGUCUUGACGGUACCUAAUCAGAAAGCCACGGCUAACUACGUG
rnacentral:rRNA from 1 species